rnacentral:rRNA from 1 species
UACAGAGACUGCAAGCGUUAUUCGGAUUCACUGGGCGUAAAGGGUGCGCAGGCGGCCAAGUGUGUUAGGCGUGAAAGCCUGGGGCUUAACCCCAGAAUUGCACCUAAAACUACAUGGCUAGAGCAUUGGAGAGGGUAGCGGAAUUCACGGUGUAGCAGUGAAAUGCGUAGAUAUCGUGAGGAACACCAGUGGCGAAGGCGGCUACCUGGCCCACUCUUGACGCUGAGGCGCGAAAGCUAGGGGAGCAAACAGG